rnacentral:rRNA from 1 species
CNGCCGGCANNGCUGAAAACUUCAAAAGGAAUUGACGGGNNCCCGCACAAGCGGGUGGAGGCANNNGGUUCAAUUNGAAGCAANGCGAAGAANCUUACCNGGUCUUGACAUCNUCUUGACAACCCUAGAGAUAGGGCUUUCCCCUUCGGGGGACAGAGUGACAGGUGGUGCAUGGUUGUCGGUCAGCUCGUGUCGUGAGAUGUUGGGUUAAGUCCCGCAACGAGCGCAACCCUUGAUCUUUAGUUGCCAGCAUUCAGUUGGGCACUCUUAAGGUGACUGCCGGUGACAAACCGGAGGAAGGUGGGGAUGACGUCAAAUCAUCAUGCCCCUUAUGACCUGGGCUACACACGUGCUACAAUGGAUGGUACAAAGAGCCCGCAAACCCGCGAGGGCAAGCUAAUCUCAUAAAGCCAUUCUCAGUUCGGAUUGCAGGCUGCAACUCGCCUGCAUGAAGCCGGAAUCGNUAGUAAUUCGCGGAUCAGCAUGCCGCGGUGANUACGUNNNCGGGCCUUGNACACACCGNCCGUCACACCAACGAGAGUUNGUNAAUCACCCCG